GUAGGGGGCAAGCGUUAUCCGGAUUUAUUGGGUUUAAAGGGAGCGCAGACGGGGGAUUAAGUCAGUUGUGAAAGUUUGCGGCUCAACCGUAAAAUUGCAGUUGAUACUGGUUCCCUUGAGUGCAGUUGAGGCAGGCGGAAUUCGUGGUGUAGCGGUGAAAUGCAUAGAUAUCACGAAGAACCCCGAUUGCGAAGGCAGCCUGCUAAGCUGUAACUGACGUUGAGGCUCGAAAGUGUGGGUAUCAAGCAGGAUUAGAUACCCUGGUAGUCCACACGGUAAACGAUGGAUACUCGCUGUUGGCGAUAUACUGUCAGCGGCCAAGCGAAAGCAUUAAGUAUCCCACCUGGGGAGU
rnacentral:rRNA from 1 species